GGAUCAUCACAGGAAUUUAGUAGUAUGUAUUUGUCCUAGGGCAAGGUUAUGAUGUUUGUAUCCCCAGUCGUGUGUUCUGUUAGUGCUGAAUAUUAUGUACUGUGCCUUCAAGACUGGCUCUGAAGAGCAAGGUUUGUUUUGGUUUGUUAUCAGCCUGCUCCCCCAUGGCUGGCGGGACAGAGAGACGGGGCAGUACAUAGUGCGGCUUUUGCUUUUUGCUUUGCUUUUUGCUGCUUUGCUUUGCUCUUGCUCCUGCUUCGCUCCUGCUUUGCUCCCGCUCCACUUUUGCUUUUUUUGCUUCUGUUAGUUAGUUUAGCUAAGUGGUCCAGAUUUUUUCCCUGGACUGUUUUUCCCUUCCCUUUUUUGGAACCAUUCAAACCUGCUCCAGACUGGGACCUGGGAAACACCAAGAGUUUACAUCUGGUGGCUGCAGCAGCUAUCCCCAGCGCCGGAGGGAGCAACAACAGAGUGACCACCCCCAGGAAAGACUUUCUGAAUUUGUCAUCCUUUUCAGAUCGGUGAAAGUGUUGUCAUCUGGAAUGGGGAAGAACAAAUCGGCCUGUAUUCACAUGUGACACAAGUUGGAUUAAGGACCUGAAGUACGAGAGUUUGCACCAAGUCAAGGACAUUUCUGCUUCUCAUCCUGCCGGUGAGCAGGCUGGAGGUGCACAAGAAGAUAGGAGGGGACACAGCCAGGACAGCUGAUCCCAAGUGACCAAAGGGAUAUUCCAGAUCAUAUGACGUGCUCCAUAUACAAAGCUGGGGGAGAAGAAGGAAGAAAGACGAUUAUAGAGGGACAGCUUUUGCCUUCCCAGGUCACACCUUAUGGAGCCCUGCUCUUCGGGGAAUACCUGAACACCUCCCCCUCCACGGGAAGCAGUGAAUUAAUUCCCUGUUUUGUUUUGCGUAUGUUGCUUUUAACUUACCUAUUAAACUGUUUGUAUCUUAACCCAUGGGUUCUCUCACUUUUACUCUCUUUUGAUUCUCUCUCCCAUUCCACUGGCAUGAAGUCAGUGGCUCUGCGGGGCUUAGUUGCUGGCUGGGGUUAAACCAUGACAACUGCAUACAUAUAAAUGCUUCUUUAAUUAAAGAAGGAAGUUCAUACCUAUGGAUCAUUUUACCACCACUGGGAGUAUUAAUAAUUAAAUGAAGGCAAAGUCUACCAAAAUCUUUUUUCUUUACUCUCCAAUUCCUACUAUUCUCCUGAUGCUAGUGUUAGUGUUUUGAUAUGCAGAAAACAAUGGUACAUAACUGACAAGAUAUAGAGACUCUGACAGUGUGAUCAAUUACAUCCUGUGACACUUCCCUCACCAGCAAGCAUGUACAAGAGUGUCUGAAUGACAGACAACCUAAC